UAAAUACUCCCUCCGUUCGGAAUUACUUGUCACCAAAAAAAAAAUGUAUCUAUAACUAAAAUAUGUCUAGAUACAUCCAUUUUUUUGACAAGUAAUUCCAGACGGAGGGAGUAGUAA
rfam:Hordeum vulgare subsp. vulgare, WGS project CAJW01000000 data, contig: morex_contig_54987